rnacentral:rRNA from 1 species
UUUAAGGUCUAAUCUGCCCUAUGAAAAGUUAAAUGGCCGCGGUACUCUGACCGUGCAAAGGUAGCAUAAUAAUUAGUUUUUUAAUUGAAAGCUGGAAUGAAUGAUUGGACGAGAAAAUUACUGUCUCAGUUUAAUUUAAUUAGAAUUUUAUUUUUAAGUAAAAAAGCUUAAAUUUUUUUAAAAGACGAGAAGACCCUAUAGAGUUUUAUAUUUAGUUACUUAUAAAUUUUAUGGUUUUUUUUUAUUUAUAUUUAUUUAAAUAUUUUAUUGGGGCGAUAGAAAAAUAAAAUUAACUUUUUUUUAACUAUUAACAUUUAUUUAUGAAAUUUUGAUCCAUUAUUUUUGAUUAUAAGAUUAAAUUACCUUAGGGAUAACAGCGUAAUUUUUUUUUAGAGUUCUUAUCGAAAAAAAAGAUUGCGACCUCGAUGUUGGAUUAAAAUUAAUGUUUGGUGUAGGAGCUAAAUAAUUAGGUCUGUUCGACCUUUAAAAUUUUACA